CGCUGGCGGCAGGCUUAACACAUGCAAGUCGAGCGGGCGAGGUUGCUUCGGUAACUGAGCUAGCGGCGGACGGGUGAGUAAUGCUUAGGAAUCUGCCUAUUAGUGGGGGACAACAUUCCGAAAGGAAUGCUAAUACCGCAUACGCCCUACGGGGGAAAGCAGGGGAUCUUCGGACCUUGCGCUAAUAGAUGAGCCUAAGUCAGAUUAGCUAGUUGGUGGGGUAAAGGCCUACCAAGGCGACGAUCUGUAGCGGGUCUGAGAGGAUGAUCCGCCACACUGGGACUGAGACACGGCCCAGACUCCUACGGGAGGCAGCAGUGGGGAAUAUUGGACAAUGGGCGAAAGCUUGAUCCAGCCAUGCCGCGUGUGUGAAGAAGGCCUUUUGGUUGUAAAGCACUUUAAGCGAGGAGGAGGCUACUUGGAUUAAUACUCUAGGAUAGUGGACGUUACUCGCAGAAUAAGCACCGGCUAACUCUGUGCCAGCAGCCGCGGUAAUACAGAGGGUGCGAGCGUUAAUCGGAUUUACUGGGCGUAAAGCGUGCGUAGGCGGCUUCUUAAGUCGGAUGUGAAAUCCCUGAGCUUAACUUAGGAAUUGCAUUCGAUACUGGGAAGCUAGAGUAUGGGAGAGGAUGGUAGAAUCCCAGGUGUAGCGGUGAAAUGCGUAGAGAUCUGGAGGAAUACCGAUGGCGAAGGCAGCCAUCUGGCCUAAUACUGACGCUGAGGU
rnacentral:rRNA from 1 species